ACCAACCUGGCGGCGUGCGUAAUACAUGCAAGUCGAGCGGUCGACGGCUCUUCGGAGGCGUCGGCAGCGCGGACGGGUGAGGAAACGUGAGUAACCGGGCGUCGGUGGGGGAUAUCGGGCCGAAAGGCGCGGCAAUCCCGCAUACGCCCCGGGCGGCGCCAGCCGCCGGGGAAAGGCCUUCGGUCUCCUGACNGGGCUCGCGGCCAUUAACUAGUUGGGGGGGUAACGGCCUCCCAANGCGACGAUAGGUAUCCUGCCUGAGAGGGUGAUCUGCCACACUGGGACUGAGACACGGCCCAGACUCCUACGGGGGCAGCACUAGGGAAUUUUCCACAAUGGGCGCAAGCCUGAUNGAGCAACGCCGCUGUAGGAAGACUGCCUUUGGUAAAGCUUGUCUGUCGGACGAGGACCGCNCCCGACGGCGCGGGGGGCGGUACNGGCGGAGGAAAGCCCNUCAANUACGUGCCAGCGCGCGNUAAGACGUAGGGGNCAAGCGUUGUCCGGAAUUACUGGGCGUAAAGGCGUGUAGCGGUUGCGCACGUAGCGGUUUUCAGCGUGGCUCACCCGACGGAGGCGGCUAAACGCGCACGAGGCAGGAGAGGUGCAUGGAAUUCCUGGUGGAGGGUGAAUGCGUAGAGAUCAGGAAGAAACGGUGGCGAAGGCGGUGCACUGGCCUGGCCCUGACGCUGAGGCGCGACAGCGUGGGAGCGAACGGGAUUAGACCCCGGUAGUCCACGCCGUAAACGAUGGAUACGAGGGUCCGGGGUACCUCGCGGUGCCGGAGCUAACGCACUCAGUAUCCCGCCUGGGAGACGGCCGCAAGGUUGAAACUCAAAGGAAUUGACGGGGGCCCGCACAAGCAGUGGAGAUGUGGUUUAAUUCGACGCAACGCGCAGAACCUUACCAGGGCUAGACGGGACCUGAGCGCGGAAAGCGCGGGGUGCUUCGGCAAGCGGUCGUCAGGUGCUGCAUGGUUGUCGUCAGNUCGUGUCGUGAGAUGUUGGNUUAAGUCCCGCAACGAGCGCAACCUUCGUCGGCUGUGCCANGAUUCGGNGGGACANCAGCCGAGACAGCCGGGGACGACCCGAGGAAGGUGGGAUGANGUCAAAUCCGCANCNUUUAUUCCUGGGNUCACACGUNUACAAUGGCGCCGCAACGGGCCGCGACCCCGCGAGGGGGAGCGAAUCCUCAAACGGCGUCUCAGUUCGGAUUGCAGGCUGCAANUGCCUGCAUGAAGCCGGAAUUGCUAGUAAUCGCGGAUCAGCAUCCCGGUGAAUCCGUUCCCGGGCCUUGUACACACCGCCCGUCACACCACGAGAGUCGGCCACACCCGAAGCGGUCGGUCGAACCCCGUGAGGGGACGACCCCGUCGACGGUGGGGCGGAUAUUGGGU
rnacentral:rRNA from 1 species